GAAAGUAAAGAAGGGCGCAUGGCGGAUGCCUUGGCUCUCGGAGGCGAUGAAGGACGUGAUAAGCUGCGAUAAGCUUUGGGGAGGUGCAAAUGACCUUUGAUCCAGAGAUUUCCGAAUGGGACAACCCAAUAUCUUGAAGAGGUAUUAUCCAACGUUGUUGGAGGCUAACGCAGGGAACUGAAACAUCUUAGUACCUGCAGGAAAAGAAAAUAAACAAUGAUUCCCCCAGUAGUGGCGAGCGAACGGGGAACAGCCCAAACCAUCCAUGUUACGGCAUGGGUGGGGUUGUAGGACUACGCCGUUGCAUGAAGACAUCAGAGAAGAACUUUCUGGAAAGAAAGACCAUAGAGCAUGACAGUUGCGUAUUCGAAUGUUGUCGAAGCAUAGUAGUAUCCUGAGUAGCGCGGAGCACGAGGAAUUCUGCGUGAAUCUGCCGGGACCAUCCGGUAAGGCUAAAUACUCCCGAGAGACCGAUAGCGAACCAGUACCGUGAGGGAAAGGUGAAAAGCACUUCGAACAGAAGAGUGAAAUAGUUCCUGAAACCGUGCGCCUACAAGCGGUCGGAGCUCGUUAAUGAGUGACGGCGUGCCUUUUGCAUAAUGAACCUACGAGUUGCCUUUGCCGGCAAGGUUAAGUGUGACGACACACGUAUCCGAAGCGAAAGCGAGUCUGAAGAGGGCGUAUAGUCGGCAGUGGCAGACGCGAAACCAAGUGAUCUACCCUUGGCCAGGUUGAAGGCUGGGUAACACCAGCUGGAGGACCGCACCAAUAAGCGUUGAAAAGCUUCUGGAUGAGCUGAGGGUAGGGGUGAAAGGCUAAUCAAACUUGGAGAUAGCUCGUACUCCCCGAAAUGCAUUUAGGUGCAGCCUUGCGGGUUACUGAUGUGAGGUAGAGCGACUGAUAAGAUGCGAGGGCUUCACCGCCUAUCAAGUCUUGACAAACUCCGAAUGCGCAUCAGUUCUACCGCAGGAGUGAGGGCAUGGGUGCUAAGGUCCGUGCCCGAGAGGAGAAGAAUCCGGACCACCUGCUAAGGUCCCGAAAUGACAGCUAAGUUAAACUAACGAAGUCUGACUGCUAAGACAGCUAGGAUGUUGGCUUGGAAGCAGCCAUUCAUUUAAAGAGUGCGUAACAGCUCACUAGUCGAGGAGUCGGGCGUGGAUAAUAAUCGGGUAUCAAGUUGUCUACCGAAGCAGUGGGAUCAUUUAUAUGAUCGGUAGGGGAGCAUUCCAGUCAGCGUCGAAGGCGUACCGUGAGGUAUUCUGGAGCGUCUGGAAAAGCAAAUGUAGGUAUAAGUAACGAUAAAGGGGGCGGGAAACCCCCUCGCCGAAAGACUAAGGUUUCCUGAUCAACGCUAAUCGGAUCAGGGUCAGUCGGGUCCUAAGGCUCAGCCGAACGGCGAUGCCGAUGGCAGAAACGGUUAAUAUUCCGUUACUACCUUCAGGAGUGACGUGGAGACGCAGUAGUGACAGUGCCGCCAUCUGACGGAAUAGAUGGUUGAAGGGUGUAGGAGUCGAUCAUGGCAGGCAAAUCCACCAUGAGAUCCGAACCUGACAGUAUGCCGCGUCCUUCGGGACAAGGCAAUAGUGCGCGUAAGCAUGCUGCCGAGAAAAUCCGCUAAACUUAAUCCUGCAGGUACCCGUACCGCAAACGGACACACGUAGUCGGGAUGAAUAUUCUAAGGCGCUUGAGUGAUUCACGGUUAAGGAACUAGGCAAACUGACCCUGUAACUUCGGGAUAAAGGGUCCCUACCCUUUUAUGGGAGGGCGCAGAGAAUCGGUCCAGGCAACUGUUUAACAAAAACACAGGGCUGUGCCAAAUCGAAAGAUCCAGUAUACAGCCUGACACCUGCCCGGUGCUGGAAGGUUAAGAGGAGAUGUCAUCGAUAAGAGAAGCGUUGAAUUGAAGCCCCAGUAAACGGCGGCCGUAACUAUAACGGUCCUAAGGUAGCGAAAUUCCUUGUCGGGUAAGUUCCGACCUGCACGAAUGGUGUAAUGAUCUGGACGCUGUCUCAACCGUGAGCUCAGUGAAAUUGUAGUAUCGGUGAAGAUGCCGAUUACCCGCGAUGGGACGAAAAGACCCCGUGAACCUUUACUAUAGCUUAUCAUUGAAUCUGGGCACGUGAUGUGUAGGAUAGGUCGGAGGCUUUGAAGCAGGUACGCCAGUAUUUGUGGAGCCGCUGUUGAAAUACGACCCUUUAUUUGUUUGGAUUCUAACCCGUGGAUACGGGGACAUUGAUUGGUGGGUAGUUUGACUGGGGUGGUCGCCUCCAAAAGCGUAACGGAGGCUUCUAAAGGUGCCCUCCGGCCGAUUGGUAACCGGCCUUAGAGUGUAAUGGCAUAAGGGCGCUUGACUGGGAGACUGACAAGUCGAUCAGGUAGGAAACUAGGGCAUAGUGAUCCGGUGUUUCCGUAUGGAAGGGACAUCGCUCAAAGGAUAAAAGGUACUCCGGGGAUAACAGGCUGAUCCCUCCCAAGAGCUCAUAUCGACGGAGUGGUUUGGCACCUCGAUGUCGGCUCGUCACAUCCUGGGGCUGGAGAAGGUCCCAAGGG
rnacentral:rRNA from 1 species